AUGAAUGAACAACUCUCUCUGAUUAGCUGGAAUGUUCGGGGAUUAAACGACCCUGCCCGUCGUGCGACGAUCCGCACGUUCCUGGACCGCUCCACUUGCUUGAUUGUUUGCAUUCAGGAGUCGAAGCUAGCGUCCUUUUCGGCCGCCGACCGUAAUGAGAUUGCUGGGCCGCGGUUUGACAUGCAUGCCGCUCUGGAUGCGAACGGCACCAGGGGCGGCAUCCUCCUCUGCUGGAGGUCCGAUCGGUUCACUGCUAGCUCAGUUGUGACUAGGGAGUUUUCCAUCACGGCAUGCUUCACGCUGGUGGACGGGGGGGACCACUGGUCCUUAACCACGGUUUAUGGCCCGCACGAUGAGUCGUGCAAGCCUGCCUUCCUCUCUGAACUCGCGAUCAUACACAACUCAAUGCUGGGUCCAUGGAUGAUUAUUGGGGAUUUCAACCUCAUAAAAGACCCGCAGGACAAGAACAACGAUCGGAUUUGUAGGCGCUGGAUGAACCGAUUCCGUCGAACGCUUAAUCGAUCAAGCCUGCACGAAAUUCCGCUAAUUGGCCGCAAAUACACAUGGAGUAAUGAGCAGCAAGUGCCGACGCUAGUUCGCCUGGACAGAGCUUUUUGUAAUGUAGACUGGGAACUUCUUUUCCCAGCUGCAAAAUUGCUGCCGCAAGCCUCAACUAUUUCGGACCAUUGCCCCUUGAUGCUAGUCAAUGACGGCAUCCUAUCCAUCAAUCAUCGGUUCCGUUUCGAGAGCUACUGGCAGUUCAUUGCCGGCUUCAACUAG
rnacentral:rRNA from 1 species